AUUGAACGCUGGCGGCAGGCCUAACACAUGCAAGUCGAGCGGAUGAAGGGAGCUUGCUCCUGGAUUCAGCGGCGGACGGGUGAGUAGUGCCUAGGAAUCUGCCUGGUAGUGGGGGAUAACGUCCGGAAACGGGCGCUAAUACCGCAUACGUCCUGAGGGAGAAAGUGGGGGAUCUUCGGACCUCACGCUAUCAGAUGAGCCUAGGUCGGAUUAACUAGUUGGUGGGGUAAAGGCCUACCAAGGCGACGAUCCGUAACUGGUCUGAGAGGAUGAUCGGUCACACUGGAACUGAGACACGGUCCAGACUCCUACGGGAGGCAGCAGUGGGGAAUAUUGGACAAUGGGCGAAAGCCUGAUCCAGCCAUGCCGCGUGUGUGAAGAAGGUCUUCGGAUUGUAAAGCACUUUAAGUUGGGAGGAAGGGCAGUAAGUUAAUACCUUGCUGUUUUGACGUUACCAACAGAAUAAGCACCGGCUAACUUCGUG
rnacentral:rRNA from 1 species